rfam:Asian citrus Psyllid, Diaphorina citri - Florida Strain, whole genome shotgun sequence.
GCCUAGUUAGCUUGGAGGGUAACGCAUCUGCCUUGUAAGCACUAGGUCGCGGGAUCGAUUCCCGCCCUGGCUG